AUUGAACGCUGGCGGCAUGCCUUACACAUGCAAGUCGAACGGUAACAGGUUAAGCUGACGAGUGGCGAACGGGUGAGUAAUAUAUCGGAACGUGCCCAGUCGUGGGGGAUAACGUAGCGAAAGCUACGCUAAUACCGCAUACGAUCUACGGAUGAAAGCGGGGGAUCGCAAGACCUCGCGCGAUUGGAGCGGCCGAUAUCAGAUUAGGUUGUUGGUGAGGUAAAAGCUCACCAAGCCUGCGAUCUGUAGCUGGUCUGAGAGGAUGACCAGCCACACUGGAACUGAGACACGGUCCAGACUCCUACGGGAGGCAGCAGUGGGGAAUUUUGGACAAUGGACGCAAGUCUGAUCCAGCAAUGCCGCGUGCAGGACGAAGGCCUUCGGGUUGUAAACUGCUUUUGUACGGAACGAAACGGUGAGCUCUAAUACAGUUUGCUAAUGACGGUACCGUAAGAAUAAGCACCGGCUAACUCCGUGCCAGCAGCCGCAGUAA
rnacentral:rRNA from 1 species